rnacentral:rRNA from 1 species
GACGAACGCUGGCGGCGUGCCUAAUACAUGCAAGUGAAGUUCAGUGGCGGACGGGUGAGUAACACGUGGGUAACCUACCCUCCUUUUUGGGAUAAGCCUUGGAAACGGGGUCUAAUACCGAAUAAAGGGGGAUGGGCACGCGGCCUAUCAGCCUGUUGGUGGGGUGAUGGCCUACCAAGGCGGUGACGGCUAGCCGGCCUGAGAGGGUGACCGGCCACAUUGGGACUGAGAUACGGCCCAGACUCGUAAGGGGGGCAGCAGUGGGGGAUAUUGCAGAAUGGGCGAAGGACUGAUGCAGCGACGGCGAGUGAGGGUUGAAGGCUUUCGGGUUGUAAACCUCUUUCGCUAUCGAAAGGGUAGGUGGAGAAGAAGCGACGGCUAACUACGUGCCAGCAGCCGCGGUAAUAC